GCCCAGACUCCUACGGGAGGCAGCAGUGAGGAAUAUUGGUCAAUGGGCGGGAGCCUGAACCAGCCAAGCCGCGUGAGGGAAGAAGGUACAGCGUAUCGUAAACCUCUUUUGUCAGGGAACAAAGGCGGGGACUAGUCCCCGGAUGAGGGUACCUGAAGAAAAAGCAUCGGCUAACUCCGUGCCAGCAGCCGCGGUAAUACGGAGGAUGCGAGCGUUAUCCGGAUUUAUUGGGUUUAAAGGGUGCGUAGGCGGAAUGCCAGGUCAGGGGUAAAAUCGCGGGGCUAACCCUCGCUCCGCCGUUGAAACUGGCUUGCUAGAGUGGGCGAGAAGUAUGCGGAAUGCGUGGUGUAGCGGUGAAAUGCAUAGAUAUCACGCAGAACUCCGAUUGCGAAGGCAGCAUACCGGCGCCCAACUGACGCUCAGGCACGAAAGCGUGGGUAUCGAACAGGAUUAGAUACCCCAGUA
rnacentral:rRNA from 1 species